GAGACCUAAGAGCAAGGAGUGAUUUGGAGAGAGAAUUAAAGCCAAGGAGUAUGAGUGAAAGGGUGGAAGAGAGAACCCACAAAAUACCAAAGACCAGCUACGCCCUACCAUGCUGGGACACCUUGCCUUCAAUUUAACAGAGUCUAUUGACUGUAAACUUGCUGCUUAUAUGUACGUGUGCUUAUGUCCGAUCCCUGGCACCCAGCGUCCUGGACAGAAAUAAAACUGGACUAUUUGGAAUAUUUUGGAAGUGUGCCCGAAUUGGCGAACGUAAGAGUCCUUAUGUCGCCAUAUGCUGUAUAGUGAUGGCCUUCAGCAUCCUCUUCAUACAGUAGCUUUGGAAACUACCAGCACGUGAUUGCCAUCAGACUGCACACAGGACUUGCCUCCAGAAAAUAACGGGGAGAAUGGUUACGCCUCUUGUCUCUGAACAUGGAAUGAGAUGAAUUUCGAGAUGCUGUUCUCUCUUUUUAUGCUAUUGGACCAACGGACUGUAUGAAUAAUCACGAUGUAACAGGAAAUACAUAGGAACGUGAUUGCAGCCAUCGACCUCGGUUCUCUCACUCCAGUAUUACGCUCUACAAACGUCAUCCUGUUACGCCAGGACUGCUUUUCCUAAGGUUCUCCAGGCACGAAGUAGAAACCCAGUGGCCAGUUCCACAGGCUUGCUUCUUUGACUAGGGCUUCAAAAUAAUGUCUUCACAUUGUGAUACCUUCUAGCGACUGGCCUAUUUUUACUUAGAAAAGAAAAUGGAUCUAUUUUUGUUGUUGCCAUUCUUAGGAAUUGCAUUCAUAUUUAAACCCUUUUGAUUGCU
rnacentral:lncRNA from 1 species